rnacentral:rRNA from 1 species
AUUGAACGCUGGCGGCAGGCCUAACACAUGCAAGUCGAACGAGUGGCGGACGGGUGAGUAAUGUCUGGGAAACUGCCUGAUGGAGGGGGAUAACUACUGGUAACGGUAGCUAAUACCGCAUACCAUCGGAUGUACCCAGAUGGGAUUAGCUAGUAGGUGGGGUAAAGGCUCACCUAGGCGACGAUCCCUAGCUGGUCUGAGAGGAUGACCCGCCAAACUGGAACUGAGACACGGGCCAGACUCCUACGGGAGGGAGCAGGGGGGAAUAGUGCACAAUGGGCGCAAGCCUUAUGCCGCCAUGCCGCGGGUAUGAAGAAGGCCUUCGGGUUGGAAAGUACUUUCAGCGGGGAGGAGUUACCCGCAGAAGAAGCAACGGCUAACUCCGGGCCAGCCGCCGCGGUAAUAC